GAUGAACGCUAGCGGCAGGCCUAAUACAUGCAAGUCGAACGGUAAGGCCCUUUCGGGGUACACGAGUGGCGGACGGGUGCGUAACGCGUAUGCAACAUGCCUUCCAGCGGGGGAUAUACCAGGGAAACUUGGCGCAAUACCCCAUAGAAUUACGGGACCGCAUGGUCUUGUGAUUAAAACUCCGGUGCUGGGAGAUUGGCAUGCGUGACAUUAGCUAGUUGGCGGGGUAACGGCCCACCAAGGCGACGAUGUCUAGCUGGUCUGAGAGGAUGAUCAGCCACACUGGGACUGAGACACGGCCCAGACUCCUACGGGAGGCAGCAGUAGGGAAUAUUGGACAAUGGGGGAACCCGUCGAUCCAGCCAUGCCGCGUGAGGGAAGAAGGUCCGUCUGGAUUGUAAACCU
rnacentral:rRNA from 1 species